rnacentral:sRNA from 1 species
AAAUAAACCUGAUAGCAAUAGUAUUUCGCUUCAGUACCUUAAUUUAGCACUCAUCACAUUAACGAAAUUUAAUGGAUAGCAGGGCUAUCG